rnacentral:sRNA from 1 species
UAAGCGGAUGCGAAUUGUUGGCACAUGUC